GAUAUGGCUCAGGAUGGACGCUAGCUACAGGCUUAACACAUGCAAGUCGAGGGGCAGCAUGGUCUUAGCUUGCUAAGGCUGAUGGCGACCGGCGCACGGGUGAGUAACACGUAUCCAACCUGCCGUCUACUCUUGGCCAGCCUUCUGAAAGGAAGAUUAAUCCAGGAUGGGAUCAUGAGUUCACAUGUCCGCAUGAUUAAAGGUAUUUUCCGGUAGACGAUGGGG
rnacentral:rRNA from 1 species